UACGGAGGAUGCGAGCGUUAUCCGGAUUUAUUGGGUUUAAAGGGUGCGCAGGCGGUCUGUUAAGUCAGCGGUCAAAGCCCGGGGCCCAACCCCGGGACUGCUUUGGAAACUGCCAUGCUAGAGUGCUGGAGAGGUAAGCGGAAUUCCUAGUGUAGCGGUGAAAUGCGUAGAUAUUAGGAGGAACACCAGUGGCGAAGGCGGCCGCCUGGCCUGUUACUGACGCUGAGGCACGAAAGCGUGGGGAGCAAACAGG
rnacentral:rRNA from 1 species